rnacentral:rRNA from 1 species
UACGAAGGGGGCUAGCGUUGUUCGGAAUUACUGGGCGUAAAGCGCGCGCAGGCGGUUCUCCAAGUCAGUGGUGAAAGCCCGGAGCUCAACUCCGGAACUGCCAUUGAAACUGCUGAACUUGAGGACGAGAGAGGUGAGUGGAAUUCCCAGUGUAGAGGUGAAAUUCGUAGAUAUUGGGAAGAACACCGGUGGCGAAGGCGGCUCACUGGCUCGUAUCUGACGCUCAGGCGCGAUAGCGUGGGGAUCAAACAGG